CCCUUGAUUUUAGUUGCCAGCAUUUAGUUGGGCACUCUAAAGUGACUGCCGGUGCAAGCCGGAGGAAGGUGGGGAUGACGUCAAAUCAUCAUGCCCCUUAUGACCUGGGCUACACACGUGCUACAAUGGAUAGUACAAAGGGUCGCGAAGCCGCGAGGUGGAGCUAAUCCCAUAAAACUAUUCUCAGUUCGGAUUGUAGGCUGCAACUCGCCUACAUGAAGCCGGAAUCGCUAGUAAUCGUGGAUCAGCAUGCCACGGUGAAUACGUUCCCGGGCCUUGUACACACCGCCCGUCACACCACGAGAGUUUGUAACACCCGAAGUCGGUAGGGUAACCUUUAUGGAGCCAGCCGCCGAAGGUGGGACAGAUAAUUGGGGUGAAGUCGUAACAAGGUAGCCGUAUCGGAAGGUGCGGCUGGAUCACCUCCUUUCUAAGGAA
rnacentral:rRNA from 1 species